rnacentral:rRNA from 1 species
CCCUUAGAUGUUCUGGGCCGCACGCGCGCUACACUGAUCCAUGCAACAAGUUUUGUCCUUGGCUGAUAGGCCUGGGUAAUCUUUGAACGUGAAUCGUGAUGGGGAUAGAUGAUUGCAAUUAUUCAUCUUCAACGAGGAAUUCCUAGUAAACGCAAGUCAUCAGCUUGCAUUGAUUACGUCCCUGCCCUUUGUACACACCGCCCGUCGCACCUACCGAUUGAAUGGUCCGGUGAAAUCUUCGGAUCUGAGAGAUGUCUGAUUAAUUUCGGACGCCUUUUGGAAAAGUUGUUUAAACCUUACCAUUUAGAGGAAGGUGAAGUCGUAACA